UGGGGAAUAUUGGACAAUGGGCGCAAGCCUGAUCCAGCCAUGCCGCGUGAGUGAUGAAGGCCCUAGGGUUGUAAAGCUCUUUCACCGGUGAAGAUAAUGACGGUAACCGGAGAAGAAGCCCCGGCUAACUUCGUGCCAGCAGCCGCGGUAAUACGAAGGGGGCUAGCGUUGUUCGGAUUUACUGGGCGUAAAGCGAACGUAGGCGGACUAUUAAGUCAGGGGUGAAAUCCCGGGGCUCAACCCCGGAACUGCCUUUGAUACUGGUAGUCUUGAGUUCGGGAGAGGUGGGUGGAAUUCCGAGUGUAGAGGUGAAAUUCGUAGAUAUUCGGAGGAACACCAGUGGCGAAGGCGGCUCACUGGCUCGAUACUGACGCUGAGGUGCGAAAGCGUGGGGAGCAAACAGG
rnacentral:rRNA from 1 species